ACGGGAGGCAGCAGUGGGGGAUAUUGCACAAUGGGGGAAACCCUGAUGCAGCGACGCCGCGUGAGCGAUGAAGUAUUUCGGUAUGUAAAGCUCUAUCAGCAGGAAAGAUAAUGACGGUACCUGACUAAGAAGCACCGGCUAAAUACGUGCCAGCAGCCGCGGUAAUACGUAUGGUGCAAGCGUUAUCCGGAUUUACUGGGUGUAAAGGGAGCGCAGACGGCAUGGCAAGCCAGAUGUGAAAGGCAGGGGCUCAACUCCUGGACUGCAUUCGGAACUGUCAAGCUAGAGUAUCGAAGAGGUAAGUGGAAUUCCUAGUGUAGCGGUGAAAUGCGUAGAUAUUAGGAGGAACCCCAGUGGCGAAGGCGGCUUACUGGACGAUAACUGACGUUGAGGCUCGAAAGCGUGGGGAGCAAACAGGAUUAGAUACCCUGGUA
rnacentral:rRNA from 1 species